GUCUCUGUAGCUCAGCGGUAGAGCGCCGCUCUCAUGAGGCGGAGGUCGGGAGGUCAGCACUCCCCAGAGACA
rnacentral:tRNA from 1 species